rnacentral:tRNA from 1 species
CGUCAUAUAGCUUAAAGCAAGCACAGGUCUCUUAAACCUUAAUAUAGUAACUAGCAAAUACUUUUGACG